GACGAUUUGCCAUAUGGAGCCGCGGAGGGCGAUGACAUCUACGCUCCCAUCAAGGCGCAGGGCAAGUUCCUUGUUACGCAGCGGACGGAGGGUGUCAGUACGACGGGCAUUAUUACUCACAUCGUCCGCGACUACGAAAAAUACAUCACCCGCCAACUGAAACGCGGCACCUCGCGCCAAGAACUCAACGUCUCCUGGCUCAAGAAGAAUGAGCUCGACAUCAAACGCCACGUCGCCGAGCUGCGCGAUAGCAUCAAGAAUAACUGGUCCGCCACAGGCCAGGAGCUGGGCAAGGAGCUGCGCCAGUUUUGGCUGAAUAGCCGGCCCUCGAGUCCGGCGCGAAACAGCGUGGACGGCAGCGUCGGCGGGUUCGGCUUCGGUGGUAAUAAUCGAGGGGCAGGGGCCGGCGCUACCAGUCCCGGGCAUCACAAUAAUAGUAAUAAUAGUCAUAAUGGUUAUUUUGGCAUUGGGGGCGGGAGUCGAACGCAAUUGGGGCGGUUGGAAAUGCCCGGUCGAUCUGAGAGCCCGGGGGUUGGGCCAGGGAGGAGCGAGGACUUUGCGACGGGCUAUAGCUUAGGGUUGAUAGGGGGGGUUAGGGCUUGGGUGAGUGUUUGCUUUUAUUGCUUUUUCUCCUCCCGUUCCCUUCUAAUUAAAAUCCGCACACAACCCGCCACCAACGCACGCACACAAACACACACAACUAUAAAUGUUAACAUCCAAGAAAUUAAAAAAAAUAUAGAUGACCCGCAGCCUCACCUCGCUCCACGAUACGGACAACCAUGCGGACGCCGCACUCUCCUCGCCAUCGGGCAGCGAUGAGGAUCGCGAAAAUGG
rnacentral:sRNA from 2 species